CAAUAGCGUAUAUUAAAGUUGUUGCAGUUAAAAAGCUCGUAGUUGGAUUUCUGGUAGGAGUGACCGUUCCGAACUUGAUUGUUCGUGUAUUGUGUUUUCUCCAGCCAUCCUUGUGGAGAACUUUUCUUGCAUUAAUUUGUAGGGAUUGGGACCCGCAUCGUUUACUGUGAAAAAGUUAGAGUGUUUAAAGCAGGCAAUCGCUUGAAUACAUUAGCAUGGAAUAAUAAGAUAGGACUUUGGUACUAUUUUGUUGGUUUGCAUACCAAAUUAAUGAUCAACAGGAACAGUUUGAGGAUAUUCGUAUGAACAUGUCAGAGGUGAAAUUCUUGGAUUUUGAUCAGACGAACUACUGCGAAAGCAUUUAUCAAGGAUGUUUUCAUUAA
rnacentral:rRNA from 1 species